GGCUGACAUACUCGACACGCGUGU
rnacentral:siRNA from 1 species